rnacentral:snoRNA from 1 species
ACAUUCUGAAAAUGACCUCAGGUGUACCAGUUGCCUGGGGUGAGAGUACUGUGCCGACAGUAUCGUGGUACGUUAAGCUUAUUGCCUGCUCUGUAUAGCAGUGUGAUUAAACCCAUGUGCCCACACUA